rnacentral:rRNA from 1 species
AGAGUUUGAUCCUGGCUCAGGAUGAACGCUGGCGGCGUGCCUAACACAUGCAAGUCGAACGGAGUUCUUAAGGAAUGCGACUUCGGUCAAAUGACUUUUGAACUUAGUGGCGGACGGGUGAGUAACGCGUGAGCAACCUGCCUUUCAGAGGGGGAUAACAUUUGGAAACAGAUGCUAAUACCGCAUAAGAUUACAGUACCGCAUGAUACAGUGAUCAAAGGAGCAAUCCGCUGAAAGAUGGGCUCGCGUCCGAUUAGAUAGUUGGUGAGGUAACGGCUCACCAAGUCGACGAUCGGUAGCCGGACUGAGAGGUUGAACGGCCACAUUGGGACUGAGACACGGCCCAGACUCCUACGGGAGGCAGCAGUGGGGAAUAUUGCACAAUGGGCGAAAGCCUGAUGCAGCAACGCCGCGUGAGGGAAGACGGUUUUCGGAUUGUAAACCUCUGUUUUCGGUGACGAACAAAUGACGGUAACCGAGUAGGAAGCCACGGCUAACUACGUGCCAGCAGCCGCGGUAAUACGUAGGGAGCGAGCGUUGUCCGGAAUUACUGGGCGUAAAGGGCGCGUAGGCGGGAAUUUAAGUAAGGUGUGAAAACUCCGGGCUCAACUUGGAGACUGCACUUUAAACUGGAUUUCUUGAGGGCAGGAGAGGAAAGUGGAAUUCCUAGUGUAGCGGUGAAAUGCGUAGAUAUUAGGAGGAACACCAGUGGCGAAGGCGACUUUCUGGACUGUACCUGACGCUGAGGCGCGAAAGCGUGGGGAGCGAACAGGAUUAGAUACCCUGGUAGUCCACGCCGUAAACGAUG